AUGAACGCUAGCGGCAGGCCUAACACAUGCAAGUCGAGGGGCAGCGGGGAGGUAGCAAUACCUUUGCCGGCGACCGGCGCACGGGUGAGUAACACGUAUGCAAUCCACCUGUAACAGGGGGAUAACCCGGAGAAAUCCGGACUAAUACCCCAUAAUAUGGGCGCUCCGCAUGGAGAGCCCAUUAAAGAGAGCAAUUUUGGUUACAGACGAGCAUGCGCUCCAUUAGCCAGUUGGCGGGGUAACGGCCCACCAAAGCGACGAUGGAUAGGGGUUCUGAGAGGAAGGUCCCCCACAUUGGAACUGAGACACGGUCCAAACUCCUACGGGAGGCAGCAGUGAGGAAUAUUGGUCAAUGGUCGGCAGACUGAACCAGCCAAGUCGCGUGAGGGAAGACGGCCCUACGGGUUGUAAACCUCUUUUGUCGGAGAGUAAAGUACGCUACGUGUAGCGUAUUGCAAGUAUCCGAAGAAAAAGCAUCGGCUAACUCCGUGCCAGCAGCCGCGGUAAUACGGAGGAUGCAAGCGUUAUCCGGAUUUAUUGGGUUUAAAGGGUGCGUAGGCGGCACGCCAAGUCAGCGGUGAAAUUUCCGGGCUCAACCCGGACUGUGCCGUUGAAACUGGCGAGCUAGAGUGCACAAGAGGCAGGCGGAAUGCGUGGUGUAGCGGUGAAAUGCAUAGAUAUCACGCAGAACCCCGAUUGCGAAGGCAGCCUGCUAGGGUGCGACAGACGCUGAGGCACGAAAGCGUGGGUAUCGAACAGGAUUAGAUACCCUGGUAGUCCACGCCGUAAACGAUGAAUACUAGGUGUGGGGGGACUGACCCCUUCCGUGCCGCAGUUAACACAAUAAGUAUUCCACCUGGGGAGUACGACCGCAAGGUUGAAACUCAAAGGAAUUGACGGGGGCCCGCACAAGCGGAGGAACAUGUGGUUUAAUUCGAUGAUACGCGAGGAACCUUACCCGGGCUCAAACGCAGGGGGAAUGCCGGUGAAAGCCGGCAGCUAGCAAUAGUCACCUGCGAGGUGCUGCAUGGUUGUCGUCAGCUCGUGCCGUGAGGUGUCGGCUUAAGUGCCAUAACGAGCGCAACCCCUAUGGACAGUUACUAACGGGUGAAGCCGAGGACUCUGUCUAGACUGCCGGCGCAAGCCGCGAGGAAGGUGGGGAUGACGUCAAAUCAGCACGGCCCUUACGUCCGGGGCGACACACGUGUUACAAUGGCAGGUACAGAAGGCAGCCAGUCAGCAAUGACGCGCGAAUCCCGAAAACCUGUCUCAGUUCGGAUUGGAGUCUGCAACCCGACUCCAUGAAGCUGGAUUCGCUAGUAAUCGCGCAUCAGCCAUGGCGCGGUGAAUACGUUCCCGGGCCUUGUACACACCGCCCGUCAAGCCAUGGAAGCCGGGAGUACCUGAAGCAUGCAACCGCAAGGAGCGUACGAAGGUAAUACCGGUAACUGGGGCU
rnacentral:rRNA from 1 species